rnacentral:tRNA from 1 species
GGGGUUGUGGCUCAGUGAUAGAAUGCUUACCUAGCACGUGAGAGGCACUGGGUUCAAACCCCAGCACCACA